GGUGUGGGAUGGGCUGGAUUUGUGCAACUGAACUUCUGCGAUAGUAUGCCACAAUUAAAUAACAUCUAACUUUAUUACAAUAUGAUAUUAUUUUAGUGUAAAUUAUGGUACAUAUUAUAAACAUAGAAACGUCAAAGGCACUGAAAAUAUUUCCGAAAAAGACAAGUCUUCGUGAACAAAAAAACUUGCACCUCUUGGCCAUGUGAAGCUCCUUCCACAAGCAGGUCAGCCACUGACUAACGCACAUUGCGCCUGUUCCUUUUCCACUGUGCGUGUGACAGCGGCUAACCAGCUUUUCGGGGUAUCCGUCGCUAGGGAUGCAAAGGAGCCAAAGAGAGACUGCGCAGCUUGUAGAAGUUUACUGUGUGAAUCGGCAUCUACGUUUUUCGCCAAACUCAAACAGUUGUGUGGAAGUUAUUCUGCCAUGCAUGCAUACACUAUGUUCACUCAGUCAGGAGUUGAUGUCGUAAUUGCACUCAGUUCCAGCCAUUGUCCCCUAACGACUUUCCGCAUACUGCCAAAACACAAAGUGAGCGACAAGUGAGUUUUCAUCUUUCAUCAUUUUCCUCAUACAGAUAGUUCAAGUCAGAUGUUGAAUUGUGGGCAAAUGUGUAAAUACUAAGUAUAUUAAUUAUGAUUUUUAAUAGCACCUGUCGACAUUCAUCUCAAUGACUGUGUAGUCCAUCUCAGAGACCGUGUGAUCAGUUUCACUGAAGAUAUGGUUUAUUACAGUGACAGCAAUUACUUUAAAUUUGAAUUGUCAACCACAUUCAAAUAUUCCGGUACUAAUUUUAUGGUAUAUUAUUGCAUUUAGUAUAGUAGUUGUUUAUUAGGUAUACUUAUACAUAUAUAUUUAUACAUAUUCUGUACUCAGACAGACAGUGUACACUUGUGCCUUGCACCCAAACAUGCAAGUCACCAAAACAUCCAAACAUUUUGUGUUUCUUUGCACCCUAUGGGACUACCCCCUUUCAGGGGCCCCAGACUCAAACUAGCUCACACCUUUAGCUUUAGCUCCUUCCUUUACCUGCUCUCAUUAUUCUGGUGCUUCACAUUCAUUCUUUAUAGCCGUGGGUUGACGUCAGGAACUACUCAUCUGAUCAAAGGUCCUAAUAGGUAGUGUUGUGUUUACUCUCAGUAAUGUACUCACCCCCUUCAGAUUCAGUUCAGUCAAGCUGUUCCUGGAGCCUCCUUAAUCCUGCUUGUGAUGGCAAGUAAAAGGGGAAUACUUCCUCCACAGAGCGCCAUUGAUAGGGAGGAGUCUGUAUUUCUGUGCAGUGCAGGUUUUCGGGAUCAAAGCCUCAAGUUAUAAAAACAAAGCAUAGGAAAACAGGGCAGAAGGCUACUGUGUGAGCUCCUUUGGGUUUAUUUUAAGAGUGUUCUCUUGCUUGAGGCCACAAACCUUCCAAUGCCCUAAACCUGUUAU